CAGUGAAUAAACAAGCAGUUGAAUCUUUCUGCUUAAAAUCUUAGUUGGUGCCUUCUGUAUGAUUAUCAGUUUCUAGCCAAGAUAGUAUUUUAUCCACAUCAGAAAUUUAAGAAAUUGCAAAGCAUCAAACCCAUGUUAUUGCAGAAUUAUCAAUUGUCUGCAUUAUGAAGCCUGCAUUUCAAUAUCUUGAUUAAAAAAAAAAGGUCAAUUAAUAUCAGGAAAGAAGUUUUAUCUUAAUUGGUCAAAAACAUGGCUUUGCAAUCUGGAUAUUUCUUUUGUAUUGACUUUAUUUAACACUCUAUCUGAUAAUUGCAUUAAUUCCAUUGGUCA
rnacentral:lncRNA from 1 species